rnacentral:rRNA from 1 species
GUGACGUCGCGAGAAGUUCAUUGAACCUUAUCAUUUAGAGGAAGGAGAAGUCGUAACAAGGUUUCCGUAGGUGAACCUGCGGAAGGAUCAUUG